UUUAACCAGAUAAUUAUUCUCUUGGGGGCAAGAAAAGUAAAUGGGCGCAAUUUCUUUGCUCUGUUUUAAUACUUAAUAUUCUUGUAAUAGUGCAACAAAAUGGAAGAGACAUUGGAUAAAGAGAUCCCACCAACUGAAGUAAAACUUUCUAAUGAAGGUGGAAUUCGAUUACGGCUGAGAGACAGAGACCUGCUGAAGAAACGAAAGGCUGAGGCAGAAGAAAAGGCAACAAACCAGUGGGUUUAUGGGUAAAGAUCAUGAUGAUAUGGUGGGGAGGAGAGUUUUACAUAAACCACUGAGACUGAUGAGCAGUGAUAUUGUUUUCUAUUUAUAUUACAUUACGGGCACAAAGCAUCAAAAGAGCAAAAAAGAAGUCCAGUGGUACCCCAGGAAGGAAAGGUCGUCCAAGAAAACAGCACCCUGUAGUUGUACCAGAAGAAGAUAUCUGUGUGGGUCAGGAAAUAGGUCCUACCUCCGUCACACUUCCCGUUCCACUACCUGCAUUAUCCACGGAAGUCGAGACAACAACUUUACAACCAGCUGAACCACAACCAGUGCCCGUGUUUGUGGAAACAAUAAAGGAAAAACCUCUCGAAACAUUUCUCAUUGAGGAUUUGGGACCUGAUGAGGAGGAAGACAUGCCUCCAAAAAGGCUUAUAAUUGAUACAGGUGACGAUGAACAGCGGUGGGCUGAUGCACCUGAACAGAGUCAAGCCUCAGUGUCAGCAUUUCCUCCAGCUACUGUUUCAUCCUAUCCAGAAAGCUUACCUGAGAAUAUACCCGAGCCCCUUAUUUGAGUACCUGUUGUGCGCAAUACAAACAUGUUUGCCAAUGAAUUUUUAUUGGAAUCCUACAACAAGAACAAAUGUAUAUUUAUUGAAAUUAUUCAUGUGUUUUUGUGUGUAUAUAUAUGCUGCACAUCAGUACUCUGUGAAUAAGUUAAAAGUUUACUAAAAUUUAAGUAAGUUUACUAAUACUCAAAUCACAAGUAAACAAGUCACAAAUUAUUUGUAUAACUGACUUUAAACUAAACUAAAACAAA